rnacentral:rRNA from 1 species
UGUUGCUUGCAAGGGCGUAUGGUGGAUGCCUUGGCAGACAGGACCGAUGAAGGACGUUUGAGGCUGCGAUAUGCCUCGGGGAGCCGCCAACAGGGCUUUGAUCCGAGGAUUUCCGAAUGGGGGAACCCACCGACCGUCAUGGGUCGGUACCGGCUUCGGCCGGGGGGUACGCAGGGAAGUGAAACAUCUCAGUACCUGCAGGAAAGGAUAUUCCGUGAGUAGUGGCGAGCGAAAGCGGAUGAUGGCCAAACCUUGCGCGUGUGAUACCCGUCGGGGGUUGCGCGCGGGGUGUUGCGGGAUCGCGUGCGCCGGCUCCGACGGGCCGGCCGGCAGUUGCAGAAAACCAUGUGUCAGGGGAACCGGGUUGAAUACCGGGCCGCAGAGGGUGAGGGCCCCGUACCUGAACGCGCAUGGUCUGCCGAUCGCGUCUCCCAAGUAGCACGGGUCCCGUGGAACCCCGUGCGAAUCCGCCCAGACCGUUGGGUAAGCCUGAAUAUUCCUGUCUGACCGAUAGCGAACGAGUACCGUGAGGGAAAGGUGAAAAGUACCCCGGGAGGGGAGUGAAACAGUCUCUGAAACCGUGCGCCUACAAUCCGUCGGAGCCCUUUUGUGGGGUGACGGCGUGCCUAUCGAAAAAUGAGUCUGCGAGUCAGUGGCAUGUGGCGAGCAUAACCCGUGUGGGGUAUGCGUAGCGAAGGCGAGUCUUAAAAGGCGUUUGAGUCGCGUGUCCUGGACCCGAAGCGGGAUGAUCUAGCCCUGAGCAGGUUGAAGCGCGGGUAAGACCGCGUGGAGGACCGAACCCACCUGGGUUGAAAACCGGGGGAUGACUUGGGGCUAGGGGUGAAAGGCCAAUCAAAUUCCGUGAUAGCUGGUUCUCUCCGAAAUGCAUUUGGGUGCAGCGUCGGGUCAUUACGUCCCGGGGGUAGAGCUACUGGAUGCUUGCGGGCCCGUAUCGGGUACCAACAGCAACCAAACUCCGAAUACCGGUGACGCGUAUCCCGGCAGUGAGUCGGCGGGGGAUAAGCUUCGUCGUCGAAAGGGAAACAGCCCAGACCGUCGUCUAAGGUCCCGAAG